AACGCACAUUGCGCCCCCUGGCAUUCCGGGGGCAUGCCUGUUCGAGCGUCAUUACAACCCUCAAGCUCUGCUUGGUGUUGGGCUCGCCCCGUAGGGCCUGCCUCAAAAUCAGUGGCGGCCACUGUCCGACCCUUCAGCGCAGUACUACUCGCCGCUCGUAGGAGGAUGGGAAGCCGUUAUACAACCCCCACCAUACAAGGUUGACCUCGGAUCAGGUAGGGAUACCCGCUGAACUUAA
rnacentral:misc_RNA from 1 species